GGACGAACGCUGGUGGCGUGCUUAACACAUGCAAGUCGAACGGGAUUUAGUAAACAGAAGCCUCGGUGGAAGAUUACUAAUGAGAGUGGCGAACGGGUGAGUAACGCGUGAGCAACCUGCCUAUGACAGUGGGAUAGCCUCGGGAAACCGGGAUUAAUACCGCAUAAAAUCGUAGAAACACAUGUUUUAACGGUCAAAGAUUUAUCGGUCAUAGAUGGGCUCGCGUCUGAUUAGCUAGUUGGUGAGAUAACAGCCCACCAAGGCGACGAUCAGUAGCCGGUCUGAGAGGAUGAACGGCCACAUUGGAACUGAGACACGGUCCAAACUCCUACGGGAGGCAGCAGUGGGGAAUAUUGCACAAUGGGGGAAACCCUGAUGCAGCGACGCCGCGUGAACGAAGAAGGUAUUCGUAUCGUAAAGUUCUGUCCUAUGGGAAGAUAAUGACAGUACCAUAGAAGAAAGCUCCGGCUAAAUACGUG
rnacentral:rRNA from 1 species